rnacentral:rRNA from 2 species
UCAAGUUAUUAAGGGUGCAGGGCGGAUGCCUUGGCACUAGGAGCCGAUGAAGGACGUGAUAAGCUGCGAUAAGCUUCGGGGAGUUGCACGUAAACUUUGAUCCGAAGAUUUCCGAAUGAGGAAACUCACUUAGAGUAAUGUCUAAGUAUCAUUAAGUGAAUACAUAGCUUAAUGAGGGGAACUCAGGGAACUGAAACAUCUAAGUACCUGAAGGAAGAGAAAGAAAUUCGAUUCCGUAAGUAGCGGCGAGCGAACGCGGAUUAGCCCAAACCAAUAAAGUUUUCUUUAUUGGGGUUGCGGACAUAUCAUAACGAAGAGGUAUCGUAAUUGAAGAGGUUUGGAAAGACCCACCACAGAAGGUAAUAGUCCUGUAUGUUAAACGAGAAGACUUCAGAUAUGAUCCAGAGUACCACGGGACACGUGAAACCCUGUGGGAAGCAGGAGGGACCACCCUCCAAGGCUAAAUACUACCUAGUGACCGAUAGCGUAUAGUACCGUGAGGGAAAGGUGAAAAGAACCCCGGGAGGGGAGUGAAAUAGAACCUGAAACCCUGCACUUACAAGCUGUGGAAGCACAUUUCUUGUGUGACCGCGUACUUUUUGUAGAACGGGCCAACGAGUUACGUUAAGUAGCAAGGUUAAGCACUUAAGGUGCGGAGCCGUAGCGAAAGCGAGUUUUAACUGAGCGUUCAGUUACUUGACGUAGACCCGAAACCGGGCGACCUACCCAUGAGCAGGAUGAAGCGAAAGUAAAAUUUCGUGGAGGUCCGAACCCACGAGCGUUGAAAAGCUCGGGGAUGACUUGUGGGUAGCGGUGAAAUUCCAAUCGAGCCCGGAGAUAGCUGGUUCUCCCCGAAAUAGCUUUAGGGCUAGCCUCAAGGUGAGAGAUACGGAGGUAGAGCACUGAAUGUCCUAGGGGGUAUUGCACCUACCGAAGACUAUCAAACUCCGAAUGCCGUCAUCUUAUACUUGGGAGUCAGACUGUGGGUGAUAAGAUUCAUAGUCGAAAGGGCAACAGCCCAGAUCGUCAGCUAAGGUCCCUAAAUGUAAGUUAAGUGGUAAAGGAUGUGGGAUUGCACAGACAACCAGGAUGUUGGCUUAGAAGCAGCCACUCAUUCAAAGAGUGCGUAAUAGCUCACUGGUCGAGUGAUCCUGCGCCGAAGAUUUCCGGGGCUAAAACUUACUACCGAAGCUACGGCAUCAGUAAUGAUGGGUAGGGGAGCUUCCCAUACGGGUUGAAGCAUGACCGUAAGGACAUGUGGACAGUAUGGGAGUGAGAAUGUUGGCAUGAGUAGCGAGAUGUGGGUGAGAAUCCCACAGGCCGUAAACCCAAGGUUUCCAGGGGAAGGUUCGUCCGCCCUGGGUUAGUCGGAACCUAAGCUGAGGCCGAAAGGCGUAGGUGAUGGACAACAGGUUGAUAUUCCUGUACUACCGAUAACCAUUUGAGAGAAGGGAUGACACAGUAGGAUAAGCUAAGCACACUGUUGGUUAUGUGUGCCCAAGCAUUGAGGCAGUCAAAGUAGGCAAAUCCGCUUUGAUAAUGCUGGGAUGUGAUGGGGAGCGAAAUUUAGUAGCGAAGUAGCUGAUUUCACACUGUCAAGAAAAGUCUCUAUCGAGGUUAAAGGUACCCGUACCGCAAACCGACACAGGUGGGUGAGGAGAGUAUCCUAAGGCCAGCGAGAGAACUGUUGUUAAGGAACUCGGCAAAAUGACCCCGUAACUUAGGGAUAAGGGGUGCCACCAUCAGGUGGCCGCAGAGAAUAGGCCCAAGCGACUGUUUACCAAAAACAUAGGUUUCUGCUAAGUCGCAAGACGAUGUAUAGGAGCUGACGCCUGCCCGGUGCUGGAAGGUUAAGGGGAUCUGUUAGAGCAAUCGAAGCAGUGAACUUAAGCCCCAGUAAACGGCGGCCGUAACUAUAACGGUCCUAAGGUAGCGAAAUUCCUUGUCGGGUAAGUUCCGACCCGCACGAAAGGCGUAACGAUUUGGGCACUGUCUCAACAACAGACUCGGUGAAAUUGUAAUUCCGGUGAAGAUGCCGGAUACCUGCGACAGGACGGAAAGACCCCAUGGAGCUUUACUGUAGCUUGACAUUGGGUCUUGGUACUACAUGUACAGGAUAGGUGGGAGGCUUUGAAACCAGGACGCCAGUUUUGGCGGAGCCAUCCUUGGGAUACCACCCUUGUAGUACUGGGACUCUAACCAUAGGCCAUGAAUCUGGUCUUGGGACACUGUCAGGUGGGCAGUUUGACUGGGGCGGUCGCCUCCCAAAAGGUAACGGAGGCGCUCAAAGGUUCUCUCAGUACGGUCGGAAAUCGUACGUAGAGUGUAAAGGCAAAAGAGAGCUUGAUUGCAAGACAUACAGGUCGAGCAAGGAUGAAAAUCGGACUUAGUGAUCCGGUGGUUCUGCGUGGAAGGGCCAUCGCUCAACGGAUAAAAGCUACCCUGGGGAUAACAGGCUUAUCUCCCCCAAGAGUCCACAUCGACGGGGAGGUUUGGCACCUCGAUGUCGGCUCAUCACAUCCUGGGGCUGUAGUAGGUCCCAAGGGUUGGGCUGUUCGCCCAUUAAAGUGGUACGCGAGCUGGGUUCAGAACGUCGUGAGACAGUUCGGUCCCUAUCCGUCGCAGGCGUAGGAAAUUUGAGAAGACCUGUCCUUAGUACGAGAGGACCGGGAUGGACGUACCUCUGGUGUACCAGUUGUUCUGCCAAGGGCAUGGCUGGGUAGCUAUGUACGGAAUGGAUAAGCGCUGAAAGCAUCUAAGCGCGAAGCCAACUUCAAGAUAAGAUUUCCCACCGCAAGGGUAAGACUCCAGAAAGACUAUCUGGUUGAUAGGUCGAAGGUGUAAGUGCAGCAAUGUAUUUAGCUUAUCGAUACUAAUAGGUCGAGGACUUGACCAA